rnacentral:antisense_RNA from 1 species
CUUCACCGAACCCAGCCACAGGGGGUCGCCGGUGCGGUCCUUGCCGUAGGUGGCGAGGAGCGCCUGGGCCUC